UGGGGAAUAUUGCACAAUGGGCGCAAGCCUGAUGCAGCCAUGCCGCGUGUAUGAAGAAGGCCUUCGGGUUGUAAAGUACUUUCAGUCGGGAGGAAGGUGGUAAGGUUAAUAACCUUAUCAAUUGACGUUACCGACAGAAGAAGCACCGGCUAACUCCGUGCCAGCAGCCGCGGUAAUACGGAGGGUGCAAGCGUUAAUCGGAAUUACUGGGCGUAAAGCGCACGCAGGCGGUUGAUUGAGUCAGAUGUGAAAUCCCCGGGCUUAACCCGGGAAUUGCAUCUGAUACUGGUCAGCUAGAGUCUUGUAGAGGGGGGUAGAAUUCCAUGUGUAUCGGUGAAAUGCGUAGAGAUGUGGAGGAAUACCGGUGGCGAAGGCGGCCCCCUGGACAAAGACUGACGCUCAGGUGCGAAAGCGUGGGGAGCAAACAGG
rnacentral:rRNA from 1 species